GAUUUUUUAAAACUCUCAAGGUCUGUCAGUGGUCAAGUGGUGGAACCAGGAUUUGCAUUGAACUUCUAAAAGCUAUGCUGUGAUAUCUCUGCUGUAAUACAAUUCCUCUCCACUUAGUUCUCUGAACAGUAAAAUGAGGCAUAAUAUGUGUGAAGGUUUUUGUAUAACCUGGUCAUCUGUAAAAAAGGCCCUUGUGACUCCAGAGAUUGCAACCAUCCUCAGGCCUUCUAGAAGUUAACAGGAGGUUUACAAAUGACCUUUAGCUUCCUUCAAAUUGGAUCCUUGUUUACAUCUAAUAGGAUAAUUGGCAUCGCCAGUUUGAAAGGGUCAAGGACGUCUGAGAAAUUCUGAAUGUGUAAAACUGCCGAAA
rnacentral:lncRNA from 1 species